GACGAACGCUGGCGGCGUGCCUAAUACAUGCAAGUUGAGCGCUGAAGGUUGGUACUUGUACCAACUGGAUGAGCAGCGAACGGGUGAGUAACGCGUGGGGAAUCUGCCUUUGAGCGGGGGACAACAUUUGGAAACGAAUGCUAAUACCGCAUAAAAACUUUAAACACAAGUUUUAAGUUUGAAAGAUGCAAUUGCAUCACUCAAAGAUGAUCCCGCGUUGUAUUAGCUUGUUGGUGAGGUAAAGGCUCACCAAGGCGAUGAUACAUAGCCGACCUGAGAGGGUGAUCGGCCACAUUGGGACUGAGACACGGCCCAAACUCCUACGGGAGGCAGCAGUAGGGAAUCUUCGGCAAUGGACGAAAGUCUGACCGAGCAACGCCGCGUGAGUGAAGAAGGUUUUCGGAUCGUAAAACUCUGUUGGUAGAGAAGAACGUUGGUGAGAGUGGAAAGCUCAUCAAGUGACGGUAACUACCCAGAAAGGGACGGCUAACUACGUG
rnacentral:rRNA from 1 species